GACAGAGGGUGCAAACGUUGUUCGGAAUUACUGGGCGUAAAGCGCGUGUAGGCGGCUGCGUGUGUCGGGCGUGAAAUCCCAUGGCUCAACCAUGGAAGUGCACCCGAAACUGCGUAGCUAGAGUCCUGGAGAGGAAGAUGGAAUGCUUGGUGUAGAGGUGAAAUUCGUAGAUAUCAAGCGGAACACCGGUGGCGAAGGCGGCCUUCUGGACAGUGACUGACGCUGAGACGCGAAAGCGUGGGGAGCAAACAGG
rnacentral:rRNA from 1 species